rnacentral:misc_RNA from 1 species
GAUGAAGAACGUAGCGAAAUGCGAUACUUGGUGUGAAUUGCAGAAUCCCGUGAACCAUCGAGUCUUUGAACGCAAGUUGCGCCUCAAGCCAUUAGGUUGAGGGCACGUCUGCCUGGGCGUCACAUAUCGUUGCCUGAUGCCAGUUUCCUCGUGAUGGGUGACUGUGCAGGUCGAAUGAUGGCUUCCCGUGAGCAUUGUUGCCUCAUGGUUGGUUGAAAAUUGAGUCCUUGGUAGGGAGCGCCGUGAUAGAUGGUGGUUGAGUGACGAACGAGACCCAAUCAUGUGAGACCCCUACCGAAUUUGGCCUUCAUGACCCACAUGCGUCUUUGGAACGCUCAUGACGAGACCUCAGGUCAGGCGGGGCUACCCGCUGAGUUUAAGCAUAUCAAUAAGCGGAGGA